rnacentral:rRNA from 1 species
UACGGAGGGGGCUAGCGUUGUUCGGAAUUACUGGGCGUAAAGCGCACGUAGGCGGCUUUGCAAGUCAGAGGUGAAAGCCCGGGGCUCAACCCCGGAAUUGCCUUUGAGACUGCAUCGCUAGAAUUGUGGAGAGGUAAGUGGAAUUCCGAGUGUAGAGGUGAAAUUCGUAGAUAUUCGCAAGAACACCAGUGGCGAAGGCGGCUCACUGGCCCGGAACUGACGCUGAGAUGCGAAAGCGUGGGGAGCAAACAGG